rnacentral:lncRNA from 1 species
UUCCACAGGCGACAAAGAGAGUCUAAAUGAAACAGUUUGUUCUGUAUAUGACAGUAAUAGCUAGUAUUACUGUUACACUAAAAUUUUCCCAGCUGUAAUACUUAACAUUUUAUAUUACCUGAUUAUUAUAGAACCAGAAUUAUGUAUUACCUAAAGUGAGUAAAUUAGUAUUACUGUUACUAAAAUAGUGCAAGUAUUAUGUAAAAUAACUAUAUAGAAUCAUAGAAUACCCUGAGUUGGAAGGGGACAAGGAUUAUCAAGUCUGACUCCUGGCUCCACACAGGGCCAUCUAAAAAUCAGACCCUAUGUCUGAGAGUGUUGUCCCAGUGCUUCUUGAACUCUGGCGGCUUGGUGCUGUGCCCACUGCCCUGGGGAGCCUGUUCCAGCACCUGACCACCUCUCAGUGAAUAAUCUUUUCCUAACACCCAGCCUGACCUUCCACUGUCCCAGCUCCAUGCCUUUCCCUUGGGUCCUGUCGCUGUCCCCAGAGAGCAGAGCUUAGUGCCUGCCCCUCCAAUCCCCUCGUGAGGAAGCUGCAGGCUGCCGUGAGGCCUCCCCUCAGCCUGCCCUGGGCUGAACAAACCAGGGGACUUCAGCAGUUCCUCAUACAUCUUGCCCUCUACGCCCUUCACCGUCCUUGUAGCCCUUUGUGGCCCGUAAGCUGUUCAGUCCUCAGUGUCAGUUAUCACAGAAGUGAUACUAAGAAAUGUAAUUGCAAGGGACCAGAUUUUUCUUUUAUUCUUUUCCUCAAAUCUCAUUAAAACAAGUUUGAGUUCAACGAUGCUUCUACAGAUGCCGUCAGGAAUACAUCCCAAUUUAUCCUGUAAAACUGACUAAUGUAUAUUUGUUUGCAAAAUGCAGAACAGAUUUUACAAGAUACAUACAUCCAAGAAUAGGAUAGAUAGCGCUUAACUUUACAUGCGUUAUUUAUGGCCUUUGUUUGGCUUUUAAUCUAUGUAGAGUUCUGGACUGAUAUUUCUGGAUCAUCUAAUUUGAUCCAUAUGCAGAAAACAGAAGAGCUGCAGAGCAGUAGUGUGUGGGGAAAGGCAUGUUGUAAGCUUUUCAGGAUCAAGAGAGAAAUUAGCAUCAAACCUUGUAUCUGCAAUCAUCAGACUCAUGAUACAGAGUAA